GUGCCUGCUUCAGCAGCGCAUACACUAAAAUUGGGAAGAUACAGAGAAGAUUAGCGUGGCCCCUGCUCAAGGAUGAUAUGCAAAUUUGUAGAGUGUUCCAUAUUAAA
ensembl:snRNA U6 U6 spliceosomal RNA